rnacentral:lncRNA from 1 species
AUAUGCAUUGCAUCUCAUAAGCAUCAUGUCACCCUUGCAUUUAAUCAGAUUUAAAACCCUAAAGUUUAACUCAGAGAACCCAUUAACAAAAGUACUUUUAUUUGAAUCUGGCUUUCUUCUUGCUUUCGGUUAAUUGUUAAUUGCAUUUUAACCCAUGAGGGUUUUGGCAUAAAAAGGGGUUUAAUGUAGUUAUAAAGCUACCCCAUAUCUUGGCAUUGAAUUUGAUUUGAAACACUAAUUAUUUUAAUAGCUAAAAAGCCCUAAAGGCUAGUUUAUAAGCAAAAGUAUUUUUAAAUGUUUUAUUUUGAGGGAAUUCUUGUCCCAAAAGUUGAAUCAUAUAAAAAUAUGAUUUUAUGAAUUUUGUUGCAUUUUAUUUGGUUUGAAUUGGAGCUUUGAAUCAAAAAUUGGUAUUCAAAAACAGAAAAUAGAAAAAGAAAAAGGAAAGAAGAAAAAAAGAAGAAGAGAAACGGCCGGCCCGGCCAAAUGGGCCGAACCGGCCCACCUAACUCGCCCAACCGCACCAGGCCGCAGCCCCCGGCGCGCGCGCUCGAACCGCCAGUCACUGACAGGUGGGCCCCGCAGUCAGCCGUCAUCUUCGUCUCCAACUACACGCCGAAGUUCCCGGCCACGACCGCGUCCGAACCGCGC